CCCUUCAUUUUUCUGAUUGCAUAAUCUCUAUUGAUCUCUCUUCAAGUUCACUAGUUCUUUCUUCUGCCAACUCAAACCUACUGCCAGACCUUCUAUUGAAU